rnacentral:rRNA from 1 species
AUUGAACGCUGGCGGCAGGCCUAACACAUGCCAGUCGAACGAGUGGCGGACGGGUGAGUAAUGUCCGGGCAACUGCCUGAUGGAGGGGGAUAACUUCUGGAAACGGUAGCUAAUACCGCAUACCAUCAGAUGUGCCCAGAGGGGAUUCGCUUGUUGGUGGGGUAACGGCUCACCACGGCGACGAUCCCUAGCUGGGCUGAGAGGAGGACCAGCCACACUGGAGCUGAGACACGGUCUAGACUCCUACGGAAGGCAGCAGUGGGGAAUAUUGCACAAGGGGCGCAGGCCUGAUACAGCCAUGCCGCGUGUAUGAAGAAGGCGUUCGGGUUGUGAAGUUCUUUCAGCGCAGUGGCGUUACCCGCAGAGGAAGCACCGGCUAACUCCGUGCCAGCAGCCGCGGUAAUAC